rnacentral:rRNA from 1 species
UACAGAGGUGGCAAGCGUUGUUCGGAAUUACUGGGCGUAAAGGGCGCGUAGGCGGCCAUCUAAGUCAGACGUGAAAUCCCCCGGCUUAACCUGGGAACUGCGUCUGAUACUGGAAGGCUUGAGUAUGGGAGAGGGAUGUAGAAUUCCAGGUGUAGCGGUGAAAUGCGUAGAUAUCUGGAGGAAUACCGGUGGCGAAGGCGGCAUCCUGGACCAUUACUGACGCUGAGGCGCGGAAAGCUAGGGGAGCAAACGGGG